rnacentral:rRNA from 1 species
AACGAACGCUGGCGGCAGGCCUAACACAUGCAAGUCGAACGCCGUAGCAAUACGGAGUGGCAGACGGGUGAGUAACGCGUGGGAACCUUCCCUAUGGUUCGGAAUAGCUCAGGGAAACCUGGGGUAAUACCGGAUAAGCCCUUCGGGGGAAAGAUUUAUCGCCAUUGGAUGGGCCCGCGUCGGAUUAGCUAGUUGGUGAGGUAACGGCUCACCAAGGCGAUGAUCCGUAGCUGGUCUGAGAGGAUGAUCAGCCACACUGGGACUGAGACACGGCCCAGACUCCUACGGGAGGCAGCAGUGGGGAAUAUUGGACAAUGGGCGAAAGCCUGAUCCAGCCAUGCCGCGUGAGUGACGAAGGCCUUAGGGUUGUAAAGCUCUUUUGGCGGGGAAGAUAAUGACGGUACCCGCAGAAAAAGCUCCGGCUAACUUCGUGCCAGCCGCCGCAGUAAAAC